rnacentral:rRNA from 1 species
UACAGAGGUCCCAAGCGUUGUUCGGAAUUACUGGGCGUAAAGGGCUCGUAGGCGGCCAACUAAGUCAGACGUGAAAUCCCUCGGCUUAACCGGGGAACUGCGUCUGAUACUGGAUGGCUUGAAUCCGGGAGAGGGAUGCGGAAUUCCAGGUGUAGCGGUGAAAUGCGUAGAUAUCUGGAGGAACACCGGCGGCGAAGGCGGCAUCCUGGACCGGCAUUGACGCUGAGGAGCGAAAGCCAGGGGAGCAAACGGG